UACGUAGGGGGCAAGCGUUGUCCGGAUUUAUUGGGCGUAAAGAGCGUGUAGGCGGCCUGACAGGUCUGCUGUGAAAACUCGAGGCUCAACCUCGAGAUGUCGGCGGAAACCGUCUGGCUAGAGUCCGGAAGAGGAGAGUGGAAUUCCUGGUGUAGCGGUGAAAUGCGCAGAUAUCAGGAAGAACACCUAUGCGAAGGCAGCUCUCUGGGACGGUAC
rnacentral:rRNA from 1 species